rnacentral:rRNA from 1 species
GACGAACGCUGGCGGCGUGCUUAACACAUGCAAGUCGAACGAAGAGCGAUGGAAGCUUGCUUCUAUCAAUCUUAGUGGCGAACGGGUGAGUAACGCGUAAUCAACCUGCCCUUCAGAGGGGGACAACAGUUGGAAACGACUGCUAAUACCGCAUACGAUCUGACCUCGGCAUCGAGGAUAGAUGAAAGGUGGCCCCUACAUGUAAGCUAUCACUGAAGGAGGGUAUUGCGUCUGAUUAGCUAGUUGGAGGGGUAACGGCCCACCAAGGCGAUGAUCAGUAGCCGGUCUGGGAGGAUGAACCGCCACAUUGGGACUGAGACACGGCCCAGAAUCCUAAGGGAGGCAGCAGUGGGGAAUCUUCCGGAAUGGACGAAAGUCUGACGGAGCAACGCCGCGUGAGUGAUGACGGCCUUCGGGUUGGAAAGCUCUGUUAAUCGGGACGAAAGGCCUUUUUGCGAAUAGUGAGAAGGAUUGACGGUACCGGAAUAGAAAGCCACGGCUAACUACGUG